rnacentral:lncRNA from 1 species
AUCUCCAUGGAGGCAAACAAAAAGUGUCAUUGGGACUCAGCCAGGGAUACACAUAUACCCACACCCAUAUGUAUACGUGCACGGUGAACUUUCCAUGAGAGUCAACUAGAAAAGCCUGCAGCAGCAAGCCUACUAUGUGCCACAGGAGCUUCUGUGUGGAACCUCUUUCUGGACCACGUGACACAUCUUCACAAACUCCUCGCUGGCUCUCAGGCUUCAUGUGUCGGUCAUCGUUCACCAUCUUGACUUCUAACCCUGUGCCAUUUCUCCUGCAUUUGCUUCUGCUUGCCUCCUUGUGCCCUGAGUUGGAAAUGCUCCCAUAGGAGGCAUUAAAGCCUCGAGAGAGACAAGACCUAUGGAGACAGUCAAAAGGAUGAAGACUAUAUAUCGUGAAGGCAGGUAGACCAGAAGGCUGGAGAGUGACAACAACAGUGCUUACCUACAGAAAAGGUUAGACAGGAUUAUGGUCAACUCUUUCCAUCUUCACUGAUGACAGAAUACAAGAAAAUGGGCAUCAACGAGAGGGAUUUAGAUCAGCCAUAAAGACUUUUUCUGCUGGUGAGGAUUUUCAAAGAUUGAAUGCCUGGCUCGGUCUGCUUGGGGUUUCUUCCCCGAAGGUCCAUAGAUUUGGUAUGCAGUAAGGACGUGAGAAUCAGCACUCAGGGGGCAGAUCAGAGGUUUUCUAGGACUGAGGAGCUCCGGGUGGGAAAGGAAAGGGAACCAACCUCCCAUUCCUGAAAUAUCUCCUAUGUUCCCAAACUGCCAUGUCCACAUCCACACUUUUCUUGAACAAACUUAAAUUUUGAGCUUUUGUCAAUUUACUGAUUCAUGGCCAUCCUCUAUCUAAAUUAGCAUUCUCGCUUAUUAAAGAAUUGUUGCAUUCACAGGUUAGGGGCACAGACAUGGAAGUGGAAAAUUCUAUGUUCCCAUCCUGAUUUUGCCCCCUUCCAGUUGUGCUGCCCUGGUUAAUUAGUUGAUUGCUUUACAUUGAUUUCCUUAUCUGUAAAAUGGAGAUAAUAAAGGUUCUUACCUUAACGGGACUGUCA